UGCACCCUACGGGAGGCAGCAGUAGGGAAUCUUCCACAAUGGGCGAAAGCCUGAUGGAGCAACGCCGCGUGGGUGAAGAAGGUCUUCGGAUCGUAAAACCCUCUUGUUAGAGAAGAAAGUGCGUGAGAGUAACUGUUCACGUUUCGACGGUAUCUAACCAGAAAGCCACGGCUAACUACGUGCCAGCAGCCGCGGUAAUACGUAGGUGGCAAGCGUUAUCCGGAUUUAUUGGGCGUAAAGGGAACGCAGGCGGUCUUUUAAGUCUGGUGUGAAAGCCUUGGGCUUAACGGGAGUAGUGCAUUGGA
rnacentral:rRNA from 1 species